UGCCCUAAGAUCACAUCUCUGGCCUUUUUCAUCCCGCAUUAGCACGUGAAGGCCCUCGGGGCCACCUCUGUACCUUCUCGAUAGCUUGCCCUUUUCCGUUUUAUUCACCACAGCUUUCGGCAGCUUUAAAUCACCCGGUGAUUUGUAGGCACAAAGAGGUUUGAGAGGAACUCACCGGCAACUUCUUCGGGCCUCUCGGUCAGAUUCUAUACUUGGUACUUCUUUCCUUUGAGCAGACGUGCCCAUUCACAGACAGCAGGUUCUCAAAGCAAGGGACACGUGUAAAUAAUUCCUUUAUAAGCCGAGGAGUUGUGCCGUACAGAACCGUUUGUGAAGCUCCGCUUCCAAUUUCACUGGUCAGCAUCGUUCACCCGUUCAGGCGUUUGUCACGUCGCCGCUCCCACAUUUCCACUGCUGCCUUGUCACAUUUUCUCUGUCAGGUACAAAGUUUUUUCACGUUUAACAAACUUUUUUUCCUUUUUUUUCUCCUUUUUUUUGGACGAGGGGAGAGGGAAAGCAGAACAGAGACAGCACACAGCAGGGGACUCUGGAAACUGUUAAGGCUGGAGAUGUUCUUCGAAAGGGUGUCGUGUGAGAUGCAAUGAGAUCCGUUUGAAUUAGGCACAAUUGUUAAACUUAUUAGUGAAUCCCGCCAUGAGGCGAGGAGAAGCCCGUAACAAACUGUAAUUGAAAGUGCAGGUUAAGUCCUUAAUUCAGUUCUAGAGCCCACGUGACUAACUGUCAGAGUCCCCGGCCAGCCCUAACGAGCCCCCCGCCGCUAACGAGGCAACGACUCCCAGCUGCCGAGGGGCCGCGGCCGCCCGGGCACAGCUGCACCUCGUCCGCAGAGCGGGGCGGCUCCGCCCCAAAGCCUCUUAAGCUCCGCCGGAGGCCGCCGGGAGCUACGAGAGAGCUGCCGGAGUUCAUUGCGUGGGGGAGCCGGAGCGGGCUCCGUUUCUUUUGUCCGGUCCUUGCGCCGCCGGGGCUGCGAGGCACCGCGAGGGGCUGCUCUUAAAACGAGACCUCGGGAUUCUUUGUAACGUUCUCUGUUUGUUGUGUUGUUUUGUUUCAGAUUGCGGCGAGACGUCUCCCGGCAAAGAUCAGCCCGAACCGGCUGAGCGAAGGCUGCAGCGGAGCCUCUCGUCAUCCCGACCCGGUGAGAUGGUGGAAGCGGAGCCUGAUUUCGUUCCCGUCGUGGAGACGUGGUGGCACAGCUCGCACAGCUGGAAUGCUGUUGUGGAUGGCUGCGUUCCUUAUAGGAGAGACAGACAGGUGAGGUGGUGGAGUUUCUCUUCCGGUGAGAGAACUGGAAUGUACUGAGCCUCACCUCCCUCCACAACAAGGUGAUGGGACAGCUGCAAGUCGAGGUGACAGCUGCAAGUGACCUAAUGAGCAAAAAUUUCUAAGUAGUCGUGGUGGAUUCGGUGAGGGGAAAUGAUGCUGGACCAAGGAGGUAGCCUUCUGUGUUGGGACGAGAGAAGGGCUGUGGAAGAUAUGGGGGGAAAUAUCAUACUGUCAGUAAUGAUCUGAAGUGCAGGGGUCUUGCUGACGGUGACGACGGGCUCAUUCAGGCACCGACGGGAGGCGCGAGGUGGAAACAUUCACAGAUCGGAACGUCAGAAGUAAGGAUGCUUGUGCCGCGAGAGUGACAGAAUAGGCUGCGGAGUCACCUUCUCCAGGGGUCUGCGAGUUGUGUCCGGAUGCUUUCCCGGGUGACGCGCGACAGGGAAGCGGCUUUAGCGAGGGAGCGGGAUCGGACGACGUCGUCGCAGGGCGAGCGCCGCAACGGAGCGUUUAGCAGCGAGGAUCCGCCUGAGCGUGGGAGCGGUUUCAUCGGCGGUGAGACGAAGGAGGUGAGAGACCCGAGGGCUGCCCUCCCCCCGCGCCCUCUGAGAAGCGAUUCACGGAGCUCUUCCGCAGGUCCAGGGCCGGAGCGGGGAUCGUGCCGGUGAGGUAAGCGGUGUCCUUUGGUGCCUGAGCUGUGCGUGCUGCCCCCGGGCUGGAGUUUUCACCUGGGAUCGGGUGCCAGAGAACACAAGUUGUUUUUGUUUGAGGGUUAUGGUGUGUGUUUGUUUCUUCUUUAUUUGAGCCCUCAAGGUGUGUGGCAGGUCUGCUCCUGGAAGAAUGGGAUUGACAGAGUGUGAGGGGAGAAGUGCAGCCUGCAGGACUCUGGCAACUGUUCCUGGGGGGAGCUUGGUGAGGUCCAGCUUAGCCAAGGUGAGUUCUUACUUGGGGUUGUGGUGCAGCUGGCAUCCUGAGAGGGAAGUCUGCAUCCUUGGCUGGCAGGUGUGCUGCACUCAUGGAAGAAGUAGAGGAGAGCCCCCAGGUAGGCACUGUUUGUGGUGGUGUGUUGGGUAGGUGGUCAGUCUCCUUGGUGGGUGUCUGUUGUGUAGUCCUUUGACCUGGGAGCCCCUGUUGGGAUCCCUUUAGUGGGUGUAGAGGUUGGUUAGUGUGUGGGAGCUGUUGAACCUUGUUCUGAACCUCUGAUUGGCUGCUGAGUCAGCUGUGGAGCACAGAUGAAGGUAAUCCACCUGUGCUACUGGAAGGGGUGGAGCCUAGCUGCACCUCUGUGAGAUCCCAUUUAAGAGCUGACUACCGGUAGGGAAAGAUCUCUUGGAGUCUUCUCAGUGAGCCUGGAACAAGGGUAAGCAUUCUAACUGUUCUUCUUUGGUGUGGUAACUUGUCUAGCCUAAGUUUCCUGUGUAUUUUUUAAUUAUGAUCUGUAUAUUGUUGAUUUAUUCAGUUUAUUAGCAAGGGAGUUGGUUGUGUGGUUGCUUGGCUUAGAGGUUUAGGGGGGGAAAG